rnacentral:lncRNA from 1 species
GUUGUAUUUGCUGUAUUUGCUCCAAAGCCUUGCCCGCCACAAGAGCGAUCUGCAGUAGUACUACUAGUGCAGUCUGAAAACGUUGCAAUUACAAGAAAAUUAUAGAAUUUCACCGUGAGACAUCGGUCUAUCCACUUCAAUGGUAUUCGUCGUUCCAUUAUAAUUUACAGGGAAACUUUCAGAUUGGAGAAUAAGUAAAUACCUAAUUUAUAUUGCUUUCAGUUUUAUCUGAAUUAGAAUCGCCGCACAUAACAUAAAUUCUUUUUGGUUCUAUGUCACAGCUUUGGCUUCUUCAGCUGUAAAGGAGUAUCGAACACUAAAGAACGCUAAAGAACUUUCGAAAUUCACUGGCGCACGAUAAUCAACGACAACCGAUCGAUCGAGCAUAAUUCUUUGCGUAAAAUCGCUUUCGCUCUUUAGCACACUUGGAGGAAAAUUGAUUCCACUAAAAUGACUCGAAGGAAUUUCGAUCAUUCUCUACUGGACUCGCCGAAUUUCAGUCCAUCGGACAGAGAAAGAUAAAAAUCACAGAAAGAGAGGAUGCAAAGGAAGAAGUUAGAGAAUAUAAAA